GAUGAAGAACGUAGCGAAAUGCGAUAAGUAGUGUGAAUUGCAGAAUUCAAUGAAUCAUCGAAUCUUUGAACGCACAUUGCGCCUUCUAGUAUUCUGGGAGGCAUGCCUGUUUGAGCGUCAUUAAACCUCUCUCAAGUAUGAUUACUUGGAUGUGAAGGAAGAGUACCUUAAACUUAAGGAGUGUUCUCCUUUGAAAUUGAUUAGCAGAUGGUAAUGUUAUUAAAUCCCUGAUGUUGUAAGAAAUAACAGUGGUUUUGUAGACUAUUAUCUAGCUUUAAAUUAUAAUUUUUAUUAUGGUUGACCUCAAAUCAGGUAAGGAUACCCGCUGAACUUAAGCAUAUCAAUAAGCGGAGGA
rnacentral:misc_RNA from 1 species